UACGUAGGGUGCAAGCGUUGUCCGGAAUUAUUGGGCGUAAAGAGCUCGUAGGCGGUUUGUCGCGUCUGCUGUGAAAACCCGAGGCUCAACCUCGGGCCUGCAGUGGGUACGGGCAGACUAGAGUGCGGUAGGGGGAGAUUGGAACUCCUGGUGUAGCGGUGGAAUGCGCAGAUAUCAGGAGGAACACCAAUGGCGAAGGCAGAUCUCUGGGCCGUAACUGACGCUGAGGAGCGAAAGCAUGGGGAGCGAACAGG
rnacentral:rRNA from 1 species